GUGUGUGUUUUCUCUUGUUGUGAUGCAUUACAUUGAUUGAUUCUUGUAUGGUGCAGCAUUCUUGUGUUCCUGGGAUGAAUCCAAAUUAAUCAUGGUGUAUGAUCUCUUUUAUGUGCUGUUGGACUCUGCUAAUAUUUUGGUGAGGAGUUUUGCAUCUAUGAUCACCAGUGGUAUUAGUAUGUAAUGUUGUUUUUUGGUAGUAACUUUGUUUUUGGUAUCAGGCUAACGGUGGCUUCAUAGAAUGAGUUUGGGGGUACUCUCUCUUUUUCAGUCUACUGGAAGUGUUCGAGAAGGACUGUUAUGAGUUCUUUGUAUGUUUGCUCGAAUUCCUCAGUGAAGCCUUCUGGUCCUGGACUUUUGUUUCUAGAACAUUGUAAAGCUGAUAGAAAGAAAACAAGCAGGAGGGAAUACUCCCAAACUCAUUCUGUGAAGCCACCAUCAGUCUGAUACCAAAAACAAGCAAAGACACCACCAAAAAAGAGAAUUAAAGACCAACAUCACAGAAGAACAUAGAUGCAAAAAAUC